rnacentral:rRNA from 1 species
UAGGGAAUCUUCGGCAAUGGGGGGAACCCUGACCGAGCAACGCCGCGUGAGUGAAGAAGGUUUUCGGAUCGUAAAGCUCUGUUGUUAAGGAAGAACGAGUGUGAGAAUGGAAAGUUCAUGCUGUGACGGUACUUAACCAGAAAGGGACGGCUAACUACGUGCCAGCAGCCGCGGUAAUACGUAGGUGGCAAGCGUUGUCCGGAUUUAUUGGGCGUAAAGCGAGCGCAGGCGGUAAAUUAAGUCUGAUGUGAAAGCCCCCGGCUCAACCGGGGAGGGUCAUUGGAAACUGGUUGACUUGAGUGCAGAAGAGGGGAGUGGAAUUCCAGGUGUAGCGGGGAAAUGCGUAGAUAUAGGGAGGAACACCAGUGGCGAAGGGGACUCUCUGGUCUGUAACGGACGCUGAGGUUCGAAAGCGUGGGUAGCAAACAGG